rnacentral:misc_RNA from 1 species
UCCGGUUUGGCACCGGCAGUCCCUCCAGAGUCCCCGGCCAGCCUCGCGGCCGUACCCGCUGGUAACUGAAGGAAAGGGUUGCGCUCGUUGCGGGACUUAACCCAACAUCUCACGACACGAGCUGACGACAGCCAUGCAGCAUCUGUGAACCGACUCCGAAGAGAACCAGGCGUCUCUGCCCAGCGUCCGGUCCAUGUCAAGCCCAGGUAAGGUUCUUCGCGUUGCGUCGAAUUAAACCACAUGCUCCACCGCUUGUGCGGGCCCCCGUCAAUUCCUUUGAGUUUCAGCCUUGCGGCCGUACUCCCCAGGCGGGGCACUUACUGCGUUAGCGACGGCACUCAGAGGGUCGCUCCCCCAAGCACCUAGUGCCCAUCGUUUACGGCGUGGACUAC